UAAGCAUAUCAAUAAGCGGAGGAAAAGAAACCAACAGGGAUUGCCCUAGUAACGGCGAGUGAAGCGGCAACAGCUCAAAUUUGAAAUCUGGCUUCGGCCGAGUUGUAAUUUGCAGAGGAUGUUUCUGGCGCGGUGCCUUCCGAGUUCCCUGGAACGGGACGCCAUAGAGGGUGAGAGCCCCGUAUGGUUGGAUACCAAGCCUGUGUGAAACUCCUUCGACGAGUCGAGUAGUUUGGGAAUGCUGCUCAAAAUGGGAGGUAAAUCUCUUCUAAAGCUAAAUAUUGGCCAGAGACCGAUAGCGCACAAGUAGAGUGAUCGAAAGAUGAAAAGCACCUUGAAAAGGGGGUUAAACAGUACGUGAAAUUGUUGAAAGGGAAGCGCUCAUGACCAGACUUGUGCUGGGCAGCUCAUCCGGGGUUCUCCCCGGUGCACUCUGCCCAGUUCAGGCCAGCAUCGAUUUUUGCUGGGGGAUAAGAACGGUAGGAACGUGGCCCUCCUUCGGGAGGGUGUUAUAGCCUACCGUACGAUACCCUGGCGGAGAUCGAGGUUCGCGCAUCUGCAAGGAUGCUGGCGUAAUGGUCAUCAGCGACCCGUCUUGAAACACGGACCAAGGAGUCGUCCAUUAGAGCGAGCGUUUGGGUGUAAAACCCGCACGCGUAAUGAAAGUGAAAUUAGGUGAGAGCUUCGGCGCAUCAUCGACCGAUCCUGAUGUUCUCGGAUGGAUUUGAGUAAGAGUUUUAACGGACGGACCCGAAAGACAGUGAACUAUGCUUGUAUAGGGUGAAGCCAGAGGAAACUCUGGUGGAGGCUCGCAGCGGUUCUGACGUGCAAAUCGAUCGUCAAAUAUGAGCAUGGGGGCGAAAGACUAA
rnacentral:rRNA from 1 species